AGAGUUUGAUCCUGGCUCAGGAUGAACGCCGGCGGUGUGCCUAAUACAUGCAAGUCGUACGCACUGGCCCAACUGAUUGAUGGUGCUUGCACCGGAUUGACGAUGGAUCACCAGUGAGUGGCGGACGGGUGAGUAACACGUAGGUAACCUGCCCCGGAGCGGGGGAUAACAUUUGGAAACAGAUGCUAAUACCGCAUAACAACAAAAGCCACAUGGCUUUUGUUUGAAAGAUGGCUUUGGCUAUCACUCUGGGAUGGACCUGCGGUGCAUUAGCUAGUUGGUAAGGUAACGGCUUACCAAGGCGAUGAUGCAUAGCCGAGUUGAGAGACUGAUCGGCCACAAUGGAACUGAGACACGGUCCAUACUCCUACGGGAGGCAGCAGUAGGGAAUCUUCCACAAUGGGCGCAAGCCUGAUGGAGCAACACCGCGUGAGUGAAGAAGGGUUUCGGCUCGUAAAGCUCUGUUGUUGGAGAAGAACGUGCGUGAGAGUAACUGUUCACGCAGUGACGGUAUCCAACCAGAAAGUCACGGCUAACUACGUGCCAGCAGCCGCGGUAAUACGUAGGUGGCAAGCGUUAUCCGGAUUUAUUGGGCGUAAAGCGAGCGCAGGCGGUUGCUUAGGUCUGAUGUGAAAGCCUUCGGCUUAACCGAAGAAGUGCAUCGGAAACCGGGCGACUUGAGUGCAGAAGAGGACAGUGGAACUCCAUGUGUAGCGGUGGAAUGCGUAGAUAUAUGGAAGAACACCAGUGGCGAAGGCGGCUCUCUGGUCUGCAACUGACGCUGAGGCUCGAAAGCAUGGGUAGCGAACAGGAUUAGAUACCCUGGUAGUCCAUGCCGUAAACGAUGAGUGCUAAGUGUUGGGAGGUUUCCGCCUCUCAGUGCUGCAGCUAACGCAUUAAGCACUCCGCCUGGGGAGUACGACCGCAAGGUUGAAACUCAAAGGAAUUGACGGGGGCCCGCACAAGCGGUGGAGCAUGUGGUUUAAUUCGAAGCUACGCGAAGAACCUUACCAGGUCUUGACAUCUUGCGCUAACCUUAGAGAUAAGGCGUUCCCUUCGGGGACGCAAUGACAGGUGGUGCAUGGUCGUCGUCAGCUCGUGUCGUGAGAUGUUGGGUUAAGUCCC
rnacentral:rRNA from 1 species